UAUAAUGUAGUGAUUUACAGAAGUUAUUUUCAAAUAUGUAACAAAAGUAUUUAUUUUACACCUCUAGUAACAACAGAAGCUACUAGCCCAGAAGAAGGAUCUUCGUUUACUGUCUCUGAUUGUAAAAUAAAAGAAGAAAAGUAUGAAGAUCCUAAUGAUACUGAGAACACAUUUGUCAAAGUCAAAACUGAACAAAGUGUUGAUUCAACAAAUGAUGACAUUAUUUCCAAGUUCAGUGAGAGUGAUGAUGAAACUGUUGAUUGUUCACAACAUGAUGUUAUGAGUGUGAAAAAAGAAAUUGAACCAAAAGAAGAGUUUCAACAAAUUAACUCUGAGUUAGAAGGUUUAUCAGAUCCAAAUCCGUACUUGAACAACUAUUCUGGAAAACAGUUUCCUGGACGUCAAAUUGUAAACAAAAAUUACCAGUCUCUGAAUCCAAGUGGUGGUAUUAUAUCUGAUAAAACGUUGUUGAUGGUAAAUAACCAGAAAAUAUGUAACAUUUCCCAUAGUGAAGCUACAGCAUGCAGUAACAAUGUGUGUGACAAGGAAUUAAAUGUGAAGUCACACUUUGAGAAGAAACUGUACAGAUGUGAAGAGUGUGGCAAACAACUUGUAUCACGGAGUAAUUUCAAAAUACACCUGAGAAUUCACGCUGGAGAGAAACCGUACAGUUGCAUAGUUUGUGGUAAGAAAUUUGUGAGCAAAAGCCAUCUUAACAGCCAUACGAUGUCACACACUGAAGAGAAACCGUACAGUUGUCUAGUGUGUGGUAAAGGAUUUAUUAAAAAUAGCUUACUUCAAGAGCAUGAAAGGAUACACACUGGAGAGAAACCUUACAGUUGUGUAGUGUGUGGUAAAAAAUAUGGAAGAAGAAGUUAUCUUAAAACUCAUCAGAGGACACAUACUGGGGAGAAACCAUAUAGUUGUUUAGUAUGUGGUAAAAAAUUUGGAAGAACCAGUCAUCUUAGAACUCACCAAAGAAUACAUACUGGGGAGAAACCGUACAGUUGUUUAGAGUGUGGAAAAAAGUUUUUAUGUAAUAAUAACCUUAAAACACAUAAAAUGAUACACACUGGAGAGAAACCAUUCAGCUGUUUAGUGUGUCAUAAAGAAUUUAGUAGAAAUUACCAUCUUAAAGUGCAUCAGAAGAUACACAGUGAGGAGAAACCGUACACUUGCGUAGUUUGUGAUAAAAGAUUUAGAAGUAAAAGUCAUCUUAACAUACAUGAAAAGAUACACACAUUAGUAGUCACAUUAGAACACAUGAAGUGAUACAGAAUAAGGAGAACCAAACAGUUUUGUAAUGUAUAUUAAAUAAUUCAGAAUAAUUUAUCAUCUUAAAACUCUUCAAGAUACAUACAUUGAUGAAAAACAAAACAGUUGGAUAACUUGUGGUGAUGAAUUCACAUAACACACACUGGAGAGUAACUACUUUGUUGUUUGUAAGAAAUAGUAACAUAGAAAACAUGAAUACAUGCACUGUACAGCUGUUUAGUAAGGAAAGUGUAGGUACUUAAAAAAACAUGUCUAAAGUCAAGAAGUGGCGACAUGUUGAGAGAAGAUAAUGAAAAUAAACAUAAAAUUUACAAGUUUGUUGUGUGUGGCAGGGAUUUUGAUUGAAAAGCUGCUUAGAAAAAAUAUCAAAAUACAUUUGGGGAUUGAACACAUUUUCUUAGAUUGUGUAUUUGUAAAGAAAUUAAUAAAUACACACUGGAGCCAAAUACUAAAGUUGUAUAAUACAAAUCCUUGACAUAAAACCAAUAUAUGUAGUUGGAUGAGAAAUUAUACGGUCGUGAUAUCUGUGAUGAGAACUUUUAUCCAUAGUGUAGAUAAUCAAAGGUUUGUGUAAUGAAAGAUAUUUAAAGAAACAACGGUCAGUGAACAGUGAGAAUUGAUACAAGUUUUUUGUUAUGUGUGUGUUUCUUUGACUGUAAAUGUUAUAGUUACAAUGAAAUAUGUAAACAAUGUUACACUGGGGAAACAUCUUGUGACUUUGGAGGAUAUACAGUAGUAUAGGUUAUGGAAACUAUGGUAACUUACAAAUGUAAUGAUUUAAUUAACCUUGGGAAGAAACUAUACAGUUGUAGUGUCUGUUGCAGUAACUUACACAUUGUUUUUGGGUAACACAUGAGAUCAUCUACAAGUGAAAUAAACAUACUUUUGUGUAGAGUAAAGAUCCGCAAGUGAAACAUGAGGUCAAACAUUACUUUGAAGAAAACCAUAAGGUAAUUACAGAUCCUGUUUUGUCCUCCAUCAAUUUACAUGUAACUAAAGAAGUC
rnacentral:misc_RNA from 1 species